rnacentral:rRNA from 1 species
GAUGAACGCUGGCGGCGUGCUUAACACAUGCAAGUCGAACGGAAAGGCCCAAGCUUGCUUGGGUACUCGAGUGGCGAACGGGUGAGUAACACGUGGGUGAUCUGCCCUGCACUUCGGGAUAAGCCUGGGAAACUGGGUCUAAUACCGGAUAGGACCACGUCGUGGGUGUUGUGGUGGAAAGUUUUUUCGGUGUGGGAUGAGCUCGCGGCCUAUCAGCUUGUUGGUGGGGUAAUGGCCUACCAAGGCGUCGACGGGUAGCCGGCCUGAGAGGGUGUACGGCCACAUUGGGACUGAGAUACGGCCCAGACUCCUACGGGAGGCAGCAGUGGGGAAUAUUGCACAAUGGGCGCAAGCCUGAUGCAGCGACGCCGCGUGGGGGAUGACGGCCUUCGGGUUGUAAACUCCUCUCGCUAGGGACGAAGCGUUUUUGUGACGGUACCUGGAGAAGAAGCACCGGCUAACUACGUG